CGUAGGUGGCAAGCGUUUCUCGGAAUCACUAGGCGUAAAGCGCAGGUAGGCGGUUCGGUAAGUCUUUUGUGAAAGCUCCUGGCUCAACUGGGAGAGGUCAAAGGAAACCGCCGGGCUAGAGUUUGGUAGGGGAGACUGGAAUUCCUGGUGUAGCGGUGAAAUGCGUAGAUAUCAGGAGGAAUACCUAUGGCGAAAGCAGGUCUCUGGGCCACAACUGACGCUGAGCUGCGAAAGCUAGGGGAGCAAACAGGAUUAGAUACCCUGGUAGUCCUAGCCCUAAACGAUGCUCAUUAGAUGUGGGAGGUAUCGACCCCUUCCGCGUCGCAGCUAACGCAUUAAAUGAGCCGCCUGGGGAGUACGGCCGCAAGGUUG
rnacentral:rRNA from 1 species